rnacentral:rRNA from 1 species
UUACGGUCAAAUCACGCUGAAACACCGGUUCUCGUUCGAUCACCGAAGUUAAGCAUCGUAGAGACAGGUCAGUACUUAGAUGGGGGACCGCUGGGGAACACCUGGUACUGUAAG